rnacentral:misc_RNA from 1 species
AAGUCGUAACAAGGUUUCCGUAGGUGAACCUGCGGAAGGAUCAUUAUCACGUAUCCACGUAUAACCAUUGUGAACUGUACUUUUCCCUCUGUCGUGCAUGAGGUCGUGAGAUGAAUAACAUUAAGGGCUAAGUUCUGUAGUAAUUUAUAGCCUGUUAUUCUGUUUCCAUGGAAGAAGAAAAGUGUUGACUCGUUCGACUCUUUUUUUCUAAACAUACUCGUACACUUCAGAGCGUAACAAAAUUACUAUUUUUAUUGUAUUUAACAAUUCUAACCCAAUUUUGAACAUUGACUUAACUUUUUCAUACGCUUAGGCGAUGAAAUUCAUUACGAAACAUAAGAACAACUCUUAGCAACGGAUAUCUUGGUUCUC